AUAAUUAAAAAAGAAAAAUGCUGAAGAAUGGGAGACAAGAGAUUAUAAUCAGCUGCAUAUGACAGUGGAAUAAAAUGAAAUCACAAAAGGAAAUGAACCUAGGGGACCAUGUUAAUGAUGGUGACAAAGGAAGGAAGGAAAAAAAGGGUAAUAAACAAAGGAACAGAGAAAGUUUCUGAUAUUUGAAUUUUCACCUAUGGGCUGAAUAUCCAAAGAGAAUGUCCUGUAAGUAUGCAACAAAAAUUCAGGAUUGUGAGACAAGAUAAAUCCAGGAAUGAAAAUGUAAAUUUAAGGUCCUCCAGUGUAGCGUCUAUUAAGAAAACCUAGAUUUAAUGAACCAAGUAAAAGAACAAAUAUUAAACAAGCAAACAAAUGAGAAGUAGGGACUAAGAUAUAAUUAAUUAAAAGGCAGAAUAAUUAUAAGCCAUAAAAAGGUGUACAAUGGUAUAUUAAAAAUAUUAUACAGCCUUAAAGAAGGAUGAUAUAGCUCUAAUGUGAUAAUGGAAAUAUACCCAGAUAUUUCCUUAGUUGAAAAGCAGAAUGCAGGCUCUUCUGCUUCCGACUGAGAAGUGAUAUGUCCACCAGCUACAGAACUAGAUCCUACAUAAAAAAUUUGGGUUUUAAUUUGGGAUUCAUAAGGAAAUGAAAGAAAAUCCAAGUAAUCCACAGCCCCUCUCCCAAAAGCAAGGAGAAACCUGGGUAGUGAAAUGGGUCUAUCUUAAGGGUAAAUCUAGUAUUACCACUGCCCGUGGCAAAAGAACUAAAACUCUAGGAUUACAGUAGUACUCCCUGGUUCCUGGAAGAAACAAAUGCAAAGGCUGUCCUGGUGAAACUCCAUCACUUCAGACAUUCAAGUUUUCUUAGAUUAAUAUUAGCCAUCUUGGAACUAAAUCGAAGACCACCAAACACCUAAGGAAAUAAAUCACCAUGCACAAGAGUCUCAGAAACAACAAAUAUUAGACUUAAACCCCCCUCCCAAGGGUUAUAGAUAAUCAGAUAAAGAAUUUAGAAGUAUAAUAGAUGAAUAAUUUAAAAAAAUAAAAGAUAAGAAUUACAAAAAUAAACAAGCAACAUGAGAUUAUUAGAAAUCACAGAUACCAGAUAUACUUGAAUAGAAUCAACCUGAACUUUCAAAAGCGAAAGGCAUAAUUGUUGAACUAAAAAACUCAAUGGAAGUAUUAAAUAGCAGACUACAUAUAAGUAAAGAGAGAAUUAUUAAACUGAAUGAAAGACAGAUUUGAUGAAUUACCUAGAAUGUACCCAGAGGGAUAAGGAAAAUGGAAAAUAUGAAAGGGGCUUAAGAGACAUGGAAGACAGAAUAAGAAAGUCUAAACAUACUUUUACCUAGAAUCCCAGAAGAGCAGAGAGAACAAAAGAGACAAUAUGUGAAGAAAUGAUUACCAAGAAUUUUCCAAAAACAAUGGAAGACGGCAUCUACAAAUAUUUGCCACAGAGCAUAUAUCAAAAAGACAAAUGUAUAAACCAAAAGAAACUGCACCUAAAUAUACUAUAGUGAAAUUGAAGGACAAGGACAAAGAAUGAGAAACAACAAAGAGGAUGAAUGGAGGACUUCUCAACAAUGCAAGAAUAGCAAUAAUGACAGACAAAAGGUAGUAGAAAAAUAGUUUCCAUUAGGAGAGGUUGGGAAAGGAUAAAGAAGUGGGGAACUACCUAAUUAAGAUAUUGUACUACUGUGCAGAGAAAUAAAGUAACCAGAAUCAAGGUAAGAGACACCAAAAUAAAGCCUCACACAUCUGGGAAACAGUAUAUAUGAAAAAGGGAGGUGGUAUUUCAGAUCAAUUAAAAAAUAAUAAUAAUUUAAUAAAUGGGACCUGGGACAUGUAGCUAUCUAUGUGCAGGGUGGGACAGAGGACUGGAUCCCUGCCUCACUCCCCAGAUAAAAAUCAAUUCCAGAUGGAGGAAAGACUUAUAUGUAUAGAAAAAAACGAAAACACUUACAAAUAUAAGGUAAAUAUACUUAUCCCUGUGGACUGGUAUUUUAAAAUUUCCAUUAAACUGAGCCAUAAAAAUGUUUGAUAACCAAGAAUAGAAAAAUUAAGAACAUCUUUUCAUCAAAAGACACCACAAAGAAAGUGUAAACAUAAGAUGUACUUUGGGAGAAUAAAUCUGCCAGAAACAACCAAAAUAGGAUCAGUACUCAGGCUAUAUGAAGAAUUAGUACAAAUUAAAGAGAAAAAGACAAAUCAAUAGGACAUGGGGCAAGGACAUCAUUAGGCAUUGCACAGUUGAACACACAUGAUCAAUGAACAUAUGGAAAGAUUUUAAACUUUAUUAGUAAUUUGAAAAAUAAAAAAAUAAGAUCCCAUUUUCACGUACAUAAGUCAUAAUUUUUUUUAAAUCUGGCAAAGCAAGUGCUGACACGAAUGUGAAUGAAUGGUAACUUGUAUGUUGCUGGCAGAAAUAUAUAGUGCAACCACUUUGGAAAACACACAUUCUCUUGUAAGGUAGAAUAUUCUUCUACUCUAUGACUCAUAAAUUCUAUUCCUAAAUAGCUACCACAGAGAAAACCUUAAUCUUGUAGAUAUUAAAACACAUACAAGAAUGUAUAUAGCUGCAUCUUUCAUUAAAAAAAAUUCAAAUGAUCUAAAUGUUCAUCAACAAAAGAAUGGAAAUAGAUUAUGGUAUAUUCGCAGUAAAAUAACAUAUAGCAGAGAAGAGUUAAUGAACUACAGCUACAUGGUGCAAUGUGGAUGAAUCUUAGAAAUACAUAAAUGACUGAAUAAAACAAUAACAUCACUUUUAUAGCGUUUAAAAAUAAGAAAAACUAAAGGAUAUAUAUUGUUUAACUACAGAGCAAAGCAAGGGCAUGAUAAACACACAGCCAAGAAAAUGCUGCUCCUGUGAGGGGACAAGGAAGGAAGUUACGAGCCAAAGGAGUGCCACUGGAAAUGUUCUAGUUUUUAAGCUGAGGCGUUAGUUUGUGGGUGUUUAUGUGAUUACUGAAACAUACAUACAGAACGUACAUAUAUAAGCUGUUAUAUGUCCUUUUAAAAAAUAAAGACAAAAGAAAUUUUACACUGGUUAUCUUCCAGGCAAACUCUUUCUCUUUUUAAUUUGUACCCUUUAUGAUGUUGGGGUUUUCUAUGAUAUAUACCACAUUUUAAAAAAAUGAAUAAACAGGAGUUAUCUGCAUAAAUGAAAUAUAGGCUACUUUUAAAUUCUCUUCUUUAUACUUUAUAGUUGUUUUAAAAAUGCUAUUUUACACAUUAAAAAAAAAAAGAAACUGUAACAGAUCUUUGCAAAAACUGACUUACCUAGCAACUCAUGUCAGAUGGAGGCUACUACCUAAAAUGAUGUUAGGAACAAGGGAUCUGAAUGUAUUUUUGAAAGGCAAAAA